GUUAAUUUGGCAGAUUAGUGCGUUAGAUUUAGAAUCUUUUUAAAUAAUUAUUUAUUAUAGUUAAUA
rnacentral:tRNA from 1 species